rnacentral:rRNA from 1 species
CAGAGGGUGCGAGCGUUGUUCGGAAUUAUUGGGCAUAAAGCGCGUGUAGGCGGUGAUGCAUGUCGGGUGUGAAAGCCCUCAGCUCAACUGAGGAAGUGCGCCCGAAACUGCAUCGCUGGAGUGCCGGAGAGGAAGGCGGAAUUCCCGGUGUAGAGGUGAAAUUCGUAGAUAUCGGGAGGAACACCAGUGGCGAAGGCGGCCUUCUGGACGGACACUGACGCUGAGACGCGAAAGCGUGGGUAGCAAACAGGAUUAGAUACCCUGGUAGUCCACGCCGUAAACGAUGGGAACUAGGUGUGUCGGGUUUUGACCCCUGACGUGCCGUAGCUAACGCAUUAAGUUCCCCGCCUGGGAAGUACGGUCGCAAGACUA